rnacentral:rRNA from 1 species
CACGGGGGGAGCAAGCGUUGUUCGGAAUCACUGGGCGUAAAGGGCGUGUAGGCGGUCAGGUAAGUGAGAUGUGAAAUGCCCCGGCUCACCCGGGGACCGGCAUCUCAUACUGCUUGGCUUGAGUACGGGAGAGGAUGUGGGAAUUCCUGGUGUAGCGGUGAAGAUGCGUAGAUAUCAGGAGGAACACCUGUGGUGUAGACAGCUUACUGGACCACUUCUGACGCUGAGACACGAAAGCGUGGGUAGCAAACAGG